rnacentral:rRNA from 1 species
GGAGGCAGCAGUGGGGAUAUUGGACGAUGGGGGGAACCCUGAUCCAGCCAUGCCGCGUGUGUGAAGAAGGCCUUUUGGUUGUAAAGCACUUUAAACAGUGAAGAAGACCAUAUGGUUAAUACCCAUAUGCGAUGACAUUAGCUGCAGAAUAAGCACCGGCUAACUCUGUGCCAGCAGCCGCGGUAAUACAGAGGGUGCAAGCGUUAAUCGGAAUUACUGGGCGUAAAGCGAGCGUAGGUGGCUUGAUAAGUCAGAUGUGAAAUCCCCGGGCUUAACCUGGGAACUGCAUCUGAUACUGUUAAGCUAGAGUAGGUGAGAAGGGAAGUAGAAUUCCAGGUGUAGCGGUGAAAUGCGUAGAGAUCUGGAGGAAUACCGAUGGCGAAGGCAGCUUCCUGGCAUCAUACUGACACUGAGGCUCGAAAGCGUGGGUAGCAAACAGGAUUAGAUACCCUGGUAGUCCACGCCGUAAAACGAUGUCUACUAGUCGUUGGGUCCCUUGAGGACUUAGUGACGCAGCUAACGCAAUAAGUAGACCGCCUGGGGAGUACGGCCGCAAGGUUAAAACUCAAAUGAAUUGACGGGGGCCCGCACAAGCGGUGGAGCAUGUGGUUUAAUUCGAUGCAACGCGAAGAACCUUACCUGGUCUUGACAUACACAGAAUCUUGUAGAGAUACGAGAGUGCCUUCGGGAAUUGUGAUACAGGUGCUGCAUGGCUGUCGUCAGCUCGUGUCGUGAGAUGUUGGGUUAAGUCCCGCAACGAGCGCAACCCUUGUCCUUAGUUACCAGCGGGUUAAGCCGGGAACUCUAAGGAUACUGCCAGUGACAAACUGGAGGAAGGCGGGGACGACGUCAAGUCAUCAUGGCCCUUACGACCAGGGCUACACACGUGCUACAAUGGUAGGUACAGAGGGCAGCUACACAGCGAUGUGAUGCGAAUCUCAAAAAGCCUAUCGUAGUCCGGACUGGAGUCUGCAACUCGACUCCAUGAAGUAGGAAUCGCUAGUAAUCGCGGAUCAGAAUGCCGCGGUGAAUACGUUCCCGGGCCUUGUACACACCGCCCGUCACACCAUGGGAGUUGAUUGCACCAGAAGUGGUUAGCCUAACUUAGUGAGGGCGAUCACCACGGUGUGGUUGAUGACUGGGGUGAAGUCGUAACAAGGUAGCC